rnacentral:rRNA from 1 species
AGAUAGAACGCUGGCGGCAGGCCUAACACAUGCAAGUCGAGCGGUAACAGAGAGUAGCUUGCUACUCUGCUGACGAGCGGCGGACGGGUGAGUAAUGCUUAGGAAUUUGCCCAGUCGUGGGGGACAACAGUUGGAAACGACUGCUAAUACCGCAUACGCCCUACGGGGGAAAGCAGGGGACCUUCGGGCCUUGCGCGAUUGGAUAAGCCUAAGUGAGAUUAGCUAGUUGGUACGGUAAUGGCGUACCAAGGCGACGAUCUCUAGCUGGUUUGAGAGGAUGAUCAGCCACACUGGAACUGAGACACGGUCCAGACUCCUACGGGAGGCAGCAGUGGGGAAUAUUGCACAAUGGGCGCAAGCCUGAUGCAGCCAUGCCGCGUGUAUGAAGAAGGCCUUCGGGUUGUAAAGUACUUUCAGCGAGGAGGAAAGGUUGAUGUUUAAUAUGCAUCAGCUGUGACGUUACUCGCAGAAGAAGCACCGGCUAACUCCGUGCCAGCAGCCGCGGUAAUACGGAGGGUGCGAGCGUUUAUCGGAAUUACUGGGCGUAAAGCGCAUGCAGGCGGUCGAAUCAGUCAGAUGUGAAAUCCCCGGGCUCAACCUGGGAAUGGCAUUUGAUACUGUUCGACUAGAGUCCUUGAGAGGGGGGUAGAAUUUCAGGUGUAGCGGUGAAAUGCGUAGAGAUCUGAAGGAAUACCAGUGGCGAAGGCGGCCCCCUGGCAAGAGACUGACGCUCAGAUGCGAAAGCGUGGGGAGCAAACAGGAUUAGAUACCCUGGUAGUCCACGCCGUAAACGAUGUCUAUUAGGAGCUUGUGGCCUUGAGCCGUGGGUUCCAAAGCUAACGCAUUAAAUAGACCGCCUGGGGAGUACGGCCGCAAGGUUA